UAUCCUGGCUCAGGACGAACGCUGGCGGCGUGCCUAAUACAUGCAAGUCGAGCGAAUCUGAGGGAGCUUGCUCCCAAAGAUUAGCGGCGGACGGGUGAGUAACACGUGGGUAACCUGCCUGUAAGAUUGGGAUAACUCCGGGAAACCGGAGCUAAUACCGGAUAAUAAUUUGAACCGCAUGGUUCAAAUUUGAAAGAUGGCUUCUCGCUAUCACUUACAGAUGGACCCGCGGCGCAUUAGCUAGUUGGUGAGGUAACGGCUCACCAAGGCAACGAUGCGUAGCCGACCUGAGAGGGUGAUCGGCCACACUGGGACUGAGACACGGCCCAGACUCCUACGGGAGGCAGCAGUAGGGAAUCUUCCGCAAUGGACGAAAGUCUGACGGAGCAACGCCGCGUGAACGAUGAAGGCCUUCGGGUCGUAAAGUUCUGUUGUUAGGGAAGAACAAGUGCUAGAGUAACUGCUAGCACCUUGACGGUACCUAACCAGAAAGCCACGGCUAACUACGUG
rnacentral:rRNA from 1 species